UCCCUGGGGGUCCAGUGGCUAAGACUCCACACUCCCAAUGCAGGGGGCCCAGGUUCAAUUCCUGGUCGGGGAA
rnacentral:tRNA from 1 species